UGGACCGUUGCCCAACGGUCCAAAUUAGCAGCCCAACAGUUACAAUUUUUUUUUUUUAAUUCGAUCGGUUUUACCGGUUUGGUUCCAGUUCCGAUUCCGGUUUCGAUUUUAUCGGUCCACGGUUAACCUCAACCGGUUGACGGGUUUAGUCUCUUCCAUACAUAUUUUCUCUUCCACAAUCGAAAGGAAUUGAGAAUCAUGGGAGAGAGAGUAGAUUUAGGGAAAGAAAGACAAGAUUUUGAGGGGGAAAAAAAAGGGAAAAGACGUCGAUACUUCCAAGGAGGAGGACAAAGCUUCUACACAGAGAGGUUAAAAAUUCAAAAGUUUCGGUAAUCAUCCAAGAUAUUCUUUGUGCUCGGCAAAGUUUCAGUCAUAAAUAAUCUCUGAAUGAAAUAUGGACAUGAGGCUCAUAUGAACGACUUUUAGUACUACUACACUGUGCAUAUCCAAGGUGUUUGGUGAUAUUCGUGAAGUCGCUAAUAAUAUGUUGUUGCAUUUCUUUUUCAACAAAUUCUUGCAAAGUGUUGAUCUAUCAUUCUACAACUCAAAAGAUUUGCAAAAUCAAGAGGAUAGGCAAGGAGUAGUAAGGAGACAACGAGGUAGACAAGGAGAAGGAUAAGACCCCUAGGUUGCUUCAUUAGUGAUUACACAGUAGUGCUCCAUUUGUUCUGGAGCUACAGUACAGCUGGUACUAUUCUUUUGUGUAUAUAUGGGCAUGGCGGGGUCCUGUCCCGUCCUUAUGAUUCUAUGCACUCCAUGUGGAGGCUCGUAGACAGAUAUAUAUAGUUAGAUGUUCUAUAACCUCAUCGGUUCAUAUUUUUGUGUAUCAUUUUUGGUAGCCUUGUCGGCUUGC